UGUACAUUAUUUGCCAAAAAAGCAUCAGCUGAAUAUUUUCACUUAGUUCUAGUGGUCAGCAUUGUGGGUCACAGUGCUUAAUUUUGCAUUGUGCCCUCUGGAGACAAUCAUCUCUGUGAUGUUCUGUUUGGUUCAGUGUGGUGUUCUCUAAAAGCCAUAUACUCUAUGGGAUUUCCUGGUUUGCUCUUGGUGUGCUGUCCCCUGGGGGCUGGAUACUGUGUGAUGCUUGGCAAAGCAUGAAUCAUGUUAGGGUUGUAUGCGUCUCAGGAUUUAUGUUCCUUGGCACGGGAACUGUACACAAGUGGCUGUUUGCCUGAACCCUGGGAGCUGGGGUCAGUGCUACUUUUACAGUGGC